rnacentral:rRNA from 1 species
GAGGGGUGCGAGCGUUAUUCGGAAUCAUUGGGCGUAAAGGGCGUGUAGACGGCGUACUAAGUCAACUGUCAAAUUCCUCGGCUUAACCGAGGGCCGGCGGUAGAUACUGGUGUGCUAGAGGGUGGAAGAGAGAAGUGGAAUUCUCGGAGUAGCGGUAAAAUGCGUGGAUCUCGAGAGGAACACCGAUUGCGAAGGCAGCUUCUUGGUCCACUCCUGACGUUGAGGCGCGAAAGCGUGGGGAGCAAACAGGGAUUAGAUACCCUGGUAGUCCACGCUGUAAACGAUGAUCACUAGACGUUAGCCCCUGUUUUACAGGGUUGGUGUCGAAGCUAACGCGUUAAGUGAUCCGCCUGGGGACUACGGUCGCAAGACUA